rnacentral:lncRNA from 1 species
UGGAGUUAAUCUCGGGUAAUGAAUUUACAAACUUACACUCUUUUAGUCAUGGUUCGAGUUUGUGCAUUUAUUAUAUAUAUACUUCUCUUUGAUACUAGAUGGAGUAGAUUGAUGAUGAUUAGAUAUCCUAGAUUGGGACCAGGUAAGUGUAUAUGGAUAUUCUCAAAUCCCCUAGGGCCCUCUUCAUCUGUGAGACAUCAUGUUGGAUAAAAAAAGUGGUUGUAGGUC